rnacentral:tRNA from 1 species
GGGCUUGUAGCUCAGGUGGUUAGAGCGCCGGUCUUAUAAACCGGAGGCCCGGAGUUCGAGUCUCCGCAAGCCCA